rnacentral:rRNA from 1 species
CUUCGUUAGGGGUACCUGCGGAGGGAUCAUUACGGACUAAAGUAUGAAUGCGGGCUGGAACCUCUCGGGGUUACAGCCUUGCUGAAUUAUUCACCCUUGUCUUUUGCGUACUUCUUGUUUCCUUGGUGGGUUCGCCCACCACUAGGACAAACAUAAACCUUUUGUAAUUGCAAUCAGCGUCAGUAACAAAUUAAUAAUUACAACUUUCAACAACGGAUCUCUUGGUUCUGGCAUCGAUGAAGAACGCAGCGAAAUGCGAUAAGUAGUGUGAAUUGCAGAAUUCAGUGAAUCAUCGAAUCUUUGAACGCACAUUGCGCCCUUUGGUAUUCCAAAGGGCAUGCCUGUUCGAGCGUCAUUUGUACCCUCAAGCUUUGCUUGGUGUUGGGCGUCUUGUCUCUAGCUUUGCUGGAGACUCGCCUUAAAGUAAUUGGCAGCCGGCCUACUGGUUUCGGAGCGCAGCACAAGUCGCACUCUCUAUCAGCAAAGGUCUAGCAUCCAUUAAGCCUUUUUUUCAACUUUUGACCUCGGAUCAGGUAGUGCCGAUACCCGCUGAACUUAAGCAUAUCA